GGAGGAGGGGCAAAAGCCGGGACUUUCAGACCAAGGCGCGGUCAAGCCCAGGCAGCUCUCCCUAACUCUCAAGCAUGGGGCAAACGCUGCCCGAUCACGCCCGCCUUAGAGGCCACGGCAUCACUGGGGUGACUGCGAGCCCCGGCCGUGGAGCCGCUGGGACGCGGCUUACCUCCCGGCUGUCGCUCCUGUGUGUGUUACCCUGCGCCAAUCACGUCCCUGAUGGGACCCUCAGUUUCGGCGUCUGUAAGGCGGGGAGGACGAUGCGUCCCCUCCCUCGCAGGAUUGAGGUUAGGACUAAACGGGGUCCGCAGCGCCGGGCAGCUCCCGAGCGCUCUCCCCAGCCGCGCCUCCCUCCUUCCCGCCACCGGUCCCGCAGGGGCCCGCGGCGUCACCUCUCAGGCUGUAGCGCGCCUGCAUGCCGAAUACCGACAGGGUGCCGGUGCCCGUGCGGUCGUCCUUCCUGACGCCGCAGCGGAGGAUGUGCUCGAUCUGCCCCAGGAUUUCCAGGUCCCAGAUGAAGAGAUAAUUCUACUUACUGGAUAGAGGAUGCAUUAGAUCUUCUUACCUUGAAAAAAAAAGGCAGCAAUGAUCAAAAUACUAAUAAAUUACUUACAGACUCAGUUUAUUUUUUCUUGGAGUAAAAGUCCAGGAUGGGUAAUAGAAUACAUGCUCUUAGCUUUUGGAAAAAUUGAUACUGUAUAUAGCAAAAUAAUGUGAAACCCAUAUGCAUGGAUAUUCUUAACAAUUUGAAGAAAUCUUCACAGUUUUCCUGGGUUGUUGAGCCUCUAAGAUGGUCUUUUCCUCUGAUGUGAUAAUAAAGUGUUUAUUCUGUACUCUA
rnacentral:lncRNA from 1 species